GCAACAUGUACAACUAAUAAUAAGGUGACAGCCCCUGGUUAUAAAAUCCUGUGCCUCUGUUACUGUUUCUGAUUUGCCCUUGAGCUGUCCUGUGGUAAUGCACAAUCGUUUGAGGAAUGCCUCUUGUCUCACAGUGGUCAAACCACCCUCACCUGUGACCUGUCCUCAUGAGAAGCUCACUCAGGCCAGGCCCUAGUCACAGGUACAAAUAUAAACUCUGGAGACAAUGUAAGAGGCAACCAAAGGAGAACUCUGAAUGGCAGAAAAAGGAAGGCAACUGAUUAGGGACCUCAGGGCUACAGGAAAAGUAGCAUUGAGUUAUCUUACAAUCGUCCUGCCUAACAGAAGAAGUGGACUCAGGCUUGGCAUUUUUCUGAACCACAACUUCAGAUCAAAAGACUUUAAUUCCAUCUGCUGGAGAAUGGUCAUAAUAAAUACCACGACUUUUCCAAUGUGAAUGGCACCCUACAGAGUUUUGCAACGAUUGAGGCCCAGAUGUACAUUUAUCAGAAAAGAGAAUUUACCACUAAGUUAUUAGAAGUAUCAUUGUUCUAAUUUCAAACAAGAUGUUUAAGUAUUAUUAACUUUGAACUUUUAAUCUUGCUCAACUGGUAAACAGAAAUGUAUUCUCCCGCAGAGGUGUCUAAGUAACUUUUACUCAUUUUAUUGACUUGACAUCUUUUGGACAUUUGGGAGUCAGGGACAAGACUUAUCUUCAUCUUUAGGAAAAAGUGCUGUGUCUUUUAUAAGUUGAGUAUGUAAAUAAGCAGGCUCACUUAUAUUUUAGAAGAAAUUUUUUUGCAGUAACACUCUUUCUAGUUUAAGAUGACUAAGGAUGAGGUAAUCAUGGCUCAGCAACAUGUUUCAGUUAAGACAGCACUCAAGAGAAUUUCAUUUGCUUUCCAGCCCCACAGUUGGGCCAAGAAAAGUAAUUACAGUGAUUAAUAAUAAUAUUUGAUUUUCAAGUCCCCAAGCCCACUCCUCAGAGCUGGUAUUAUCUGGGGGCAGAGAAACAAAUUGCAGGAAGGAAAUGAGAAGUAUGUCCUACCAUUUGAAUUCUUGAGCAUUACGCAGUCCCAAUGCUGCCAUUGCACACCCGGCUUGUGUCACCCCAUGAAUUUUUAUACAGGAUUUUCAGCAUCUUGUUUUCCUGGUCACCCUAGAACUGAGGGCAGAGCAGAGGUGAUGUUUUCACUCUUUAGGGAUGCAUUUUAAUUAAUGCCUCUUUGAGGAGCCUCUCCUCCUGUUUGGAAGUGCUGUUAGGAAAUUUGCAAGUGGUGAUGGAGAGCAGAUUUAAAAGAAUCAGGGCCUCUGCUUUGAAAACCAAAAAAUGAAACACAACAAAAAUAACACAUCUUUUGUCCUUAAAAGGCCUUAUGUUCUCAUCUCUGACAGGAUUCUGAUGGCCAACACAAGGACAGUUCUAAGAUACCCAAGGUUUAAUAUAAACAAAUAAAUGAAAAGAGAGAGAGAGAGAGAAAAGAAAAGAAAAAAAACAAAACAAAACAAAAAAAACGUGCCCAGGGCAGGGCUGGGUUUCAAGACUCCAGUAGCCUUCAGCUCAGCCACUACCAGGAGGAGUUGCUAUGGGAACCAUUGCAAAAGAUUAAAUAUAUCAAGAGUACAUGAUUGUGAGAAAUGGGUGGGAAAGAAUUAUAUUAAUGUUGAAAUGAUGGUUCUUCUAUUUGUGGGGUUUUCACAUUUUUUUUUCUAAAUUGCAUACAAAAUCUCCUUCACAAACAGAACUCAUUAACAAAUAAGUCUUUGCUGUAUGCUAAACAGAGAGACAAUGGAAUGUUCAUAUUUCAUCAUGAAAAUUAAAGGGCUGUGAUUUUUUGCAGUGCUUGUUUGUUUUCUAAGCCUAGAAUCGCUUUUGGAGUAAACUCUGCCUUUUUGCCUUGCCUGCUACAGUAAUCUUAUAGGGGUGCAUUUGCAGAGUGGUCUGGAGCAGGGCAAUGUGGGGUUCCUCGCUCUUUUCCUCCCAUCCUGUUGUACAUCACAUAUACCAUAUUUAUUUUGUCCCUAGGAUCUGGAAAAAAAAAAUUAACCUUCUUGCUUAUUGCAAUUCUCCUUAGAAAAAAAUUGUCAGGAGGGUUGAGGCUGGGAAGGUAAAUCCCUUAAGAAGAUUCUUUAAAAAGGUGUAAAUGCUGUGACUUGAAUUCAGUAUUCACAACAUUCAGAAUCUCUCAAGAGAAGCUUUUUUCUUCUUAUUAUUAUUGUGAAAUUUUCUCAGUCUGUGAGAAGUCAGUUGUUGAAUCUCACCUGGUAAGUGGGGAUAGCUGGAUCAGAAAGUUUCAGGAAGUGACUCCUGAUCACGCAAAACAGAACUGAAACUCU